GGACCUGACUGCUAUCGGGUUGAUACUAAGCCAUGCGAGUCAUUGUAGCAAUACAAGGCAUACGGCUCAGUAACGCGUAGUCAACCUAACCUAUGGACGGGAAUAACCUCGGGAAACUGAGAAUAAUGCCCGAUAGAACAUUAUGCCUGGAAUGGUUUAUGUUCCAAAUGAUUUAUCGCCGUAGGAUGGGACUGCGGCCUAUCAGUUUGUUGGUGAGGUAAUGGCCCACCAAGACUAUUACAGGUACGGGCUCUGAGAGGAGUGGCCCGGAGAUGGGUACUGAGACACGGACCCAGGCCCUAUGGGGCGCAGCAGGCGAGAAAACUUUGCAAUGUGCGAAAGCACGACAAGGUUAAUCCGAGUGGUUUCUGCUAAAGAAACCUUUUGUCAGUCCUAGAAACACUGAUGAAUAAGGGGUGGGCAAGUUCUGGUGU
rnacentral:rRNA from 1 species